rnacentral:rRNA from 1 species
GUGAGCAUCUCAAUUUUUAUACACCGUAUUUAAGCGCUUAGAUGCGAUUAUUGGCUCUUUUAGUGUCUUUUAAUUGUAUUUCUAAUGCGCGCGGUAAAGCCUGCUUCGAGAGUAAGUGGGUAAUCCAUUGGAAGUAAUGAUUUCUCUUUANUAUAGCACACCUAUAUACGGCAUUCAUUCCCGGGAUGACUAGUUUCGUCUUUUUUGUGCGAAUGUAAUGUAUUCUUUAUCCGUAUGUGCGAUUGUCAAUUCAUGGUGGGGACAGACCAUUGUUAAUUGUUGGCUCGGUCUUAACUAGGAAUGCCUUGUACGGGUCUUUGGUUCAACAAACCACCCGGAAUACGUCCCUGCCCUUUGUACACACCGCCCGUCGCUCUUACCGAUAAACUUCUUUGUGAGUCUAAGGGACUGGGUUAAUANUAUUUUUAAUA